rnacentral:rRNA from 1 species
UCCCUUCGGGGAUAGUGGCGCACGGGUGCGUAACGCGUGGGAACCUGCCCUUAGGUUCGGAAUAACAGUUAGAAAUGACUGCUAAUACCGGAUAAUGUCUUCGGACCAAAGAUUUAUCGCCUUAGGAUGGGCCCGCGUUGGAUUAGCUAGUUGGUGGGGUAAAGGCUCACCAAGGCGACGAUCCAUAGCUGGUCUGAGAGGAUGAUCAGCCACACUGGGACUGAGACACGGCCCAGACUCCUACGGGAGGCAGCAGUGGGGAAUUUUGGACAAUGGGCGCAAGCCUGAUCCAGCAAUGCCGCGUGCAGGAAGAAGGCCUUCGGGUUGUAAACUGCUUUUUGUACGGAACGAAAAGGUCUGGGUUAAUACCCUGGGCUCAUGACGGUACCGUAAGAAUAAGCACCGGCUAACUACGUGCCAGCAGCCGCGGUAAU